rnacentral:lncRNA from 1 species
GGCUAGGGGGCGAGGAGCCUCCUACUGCCCAUCUUCCCGUCCACCACGCGCAGUUACUCACCUUUGUCUCCGGCCUGGAUUAAGGAUCCAGCCUUUCGCCUCCAUCCCUCUUGUCCCUCCUGAUCCUCCUGACCCUGUCUUUAAGAUCCCAGGAGCUGCGGUGAGGAGUGAGGCUGAGGGGCCCCUUUCAUCUGAUGCAGCGACUCCGCUUUCCUCCGGCGGCUCUGUCUAUGGCUGAGCUCUUUGAUCCUUUGAGAGAUGGUUUGACUUUUCCCGAGCAAAGAGCCUGCGUUGAAAAGCGGGGGUGGAAUUCAGUCCUCACAGAUAAUGAGGGGACAAGACCUAAUUGAACCGAGUAUUGCCGGGAAGGAAAAGGCAACGGGCCAAGCCUUUGACAGGGUGCGACACUGACUUUUAUCAUCGUUAUAGUCUUUAAAUCCUGGGAAACGAGUUGGCAACCCCAAAAUAAAGAAGUGUAAUGACGUCUGAUGACUUCACCCAAAUACAGACCAUUCCAAGAAAGACUUGCGCAGUUCUCAUGCGUGGUUGCGUUUUUGCAUAAAACUAAGAUUCCCUUUGUCCGCAUGUUUAAUAGCUUAAAAAUAAAUUGAGGUUUUUAUCGGAUAAAAGUAGCCAGGAAAAAGUGAUACAGUGAAAACGAUUACAGGAUAUUUAUAGACUUGUCUUUCAAGUUAUUAGAAGUCUCAUUCUAUCUGGGGGCAGUGAUGGUGGUGGUGGUAGUGGAACUUGUGAAUUGAGAUUCAUAGUGGAACUUGUGAAUUGAGAUUCAUCUCGAAACUGGAGGCAUGGCUGAGACUUCUAAUAAAGACAACCUCAGUCAACACUA